AUCUAGUUUAGGCCACCAGAGAGCUGAGAUGCGGCUGGCUCACCUGAGGCCUCAGGAGUCCAGGCCACUGCAGACAGAGUGGAUCAUCCUACACGUCCACUUAGAAGACCACUGAUUUCAUCCAUCCCUCCUGUCGCCUCAGUUCUAUGUGAACAUCAGCUAACUAGUUUCUGCCAACACAAGCACCUCCCCUACUCCACCUUCACGCCCCAACAGCACAACCAGUCUCUUCUCCAUGCUUCGGCCUGGAACAGACCUCCUGAGUCCCCUUCUCCUCUCCUCCCUUUGGCCCAGUGCUCCAAUCACUCCAACUGGAACACCAGGACCAGAGGGCUAGUCACAACAGCCAAGAUGUGGAUGCAACCUAAAUGCC